GACGAACGCUGGCGGCGUGCUUAACACAUGCAAGUCGAACGGAAAGGUUCCAGCUUGCUGGAGUACUCGAGUGGCGAACGGGUGAGUAACACGUGGGUGAUCUGCCCUGCACUUCGGGAUAAGCCUGGGAAACUGGGUCUAAUACCGGAUAGGACCGCACUUUGGUGUGUGUGGUGGAAAGGUUUUUCUGGUGUGGGAUGAGCUCGCGGCCUAUCAGUUUGUUGGUGGGGUAAUGGCCUACCAAGACGGCGACGGGUAGCCGGCCUGAGAGGGUGGACGGUCACAUUGGGACUGAGAUACGGCCCAGACUCCUACGGGAGGCAGCAGGGGGGAAUAUUGCACAAUGGGGGAAACCCUGAUGCAGCGACGCCGCGUGGGGGAUGAAGGCCUUCGGGUUGUAAACUCCUUUCGCUAGGGACGAAGCUUUUUGUGACGGUACCUGGAGAAGAAGCACCGGCUAACUACGUG
rnacentral:rRNA from 1 species